UCCAAACAAUUUAAUUAUGAAGUUAUUUCACUAAAUUCUUUAUUUCCAAAAUUGAAACAAAUUCAGUGUAUAUCAACAGAAAUAUGGUAAAAAAGAUCGAAUAUAUGCCAAUAAUGUUAAAUGUAUGCAUGAAACAUGUCCCAAGAAAGUUCCCAUGCAAUAAAGAACAAAAUCACAAAUGAAUUAUUAAACAGGUAACUCAAUGAAAAAGAAAGAACCAGACACGGAUAUCACUUACAGAAUAAAGUUCUUUGAAGAAGAUAACCAAUCAGCAAAAGAAGCAAGUCCUGUGAUACAGCAACAGAAGAAAACUCUUCAUGAAAAAUACAGGAUUCAAGAAGAAUAAAUUUUUGUUUGAAGUUUAAUAAAAAAAAUGUAAUUGUUAUGAGACUGCUAUCUCAUUUACCCCCAUCUCAUCAAUCCAUAAUUUGUAUAUCCUAAUCUUUUUGCCCCUUAAGUUGUGUAUUUUCAUCUGUUUGAUCCUAUGUUUCCUCACAUCACAAAAAAUGAAUUUAUUUUCCAAAUUUUAAAAAAUAUAUUUUUGAUUAGCUUUAAAUUUUUUGUUUGGAAAAUAAUGUCCGUUAUAAAUCUCUUCAUCUAACAAAUGUGGUGAUAUUAGUUGGAUUUAAAGUUGAGGUAAUUCUGUACCCCAACAUAUCACAGGCUUUUAUUCAGAGGAAAAAAAAUUGAUCACAGUAUUGUAAGGCAUCAAUUAAACCAAGCCUCUGUUGGUAACAGUGGUAAAUUCUACCUCCCUAUUUACAGUUAGUUGGCACAUCUAUCAACAGAUAACAUUUGUUGGGUUUUUGUUUACAUUAAAGGCUGAAACUAUCAGUUGUAACUAUAUUGAUGUAAACAUUUAUUUUAUAUUGAUCAUUAUUUCCUUUAAAAAUCAUGAACUUGUAUUUAUUAAUUUUAAUAAAAUGCAAAUGGUCAGAGCUUCAGAAAGAGAGAGAUAUUAUAUCAGCCUGGUCAACAGCAACUGUCCAUUUAACAAAGACCUUAUAUUUCUUAAAUUUCUCUUAGAAAUAGGAUAAGAUAAGUAUAACCCUUAAGAUCUAAAGUAGGUAUUUCUCUUGUUGUUUAUCCUCGGAAUUUUCCAUGCCAACUACGGAACAUUAUUGUACAUUUACUUAUUUGAUUGCCUCCUCAUCGCUUCAGCAAAUGCUGUGAAGUCUAUGUCUUCAGUGAGGAGGCUAAUAAGACUGAUUCAUGCCAGAUUUAUUUUCUGUGCUUAUCAGAAUCAUUAAAAUAACAUUGGUCAUUUCCUCACUGAAUAAUUAUUUUUGAUUAGGGGAUCUUUUCGUUUGGCUGCCACUUUUCAAUAUCUUCAAUUUUGGUUCCAAUUGAUUUCAUAUUCGGUGUAAUGAAGUAGUUUUGUAUUCUAAUAAUUGACAUGAAAUUCAUUUUCACCAUAAAUCAAUUGACAAAAUGUUAUUAGCUUUUAAAAUUUGAAAAUUUUGGAUAGUUUUAGCCAAUCAUAAGCCACAGACACAUUCAUGCCUGUUUCCAUAGUAACAAGUCAAACAUGAGAACCCUUUUAUCUGUGAGAAAGCACAUGUGUUGACAAAUAUAUUCUAUGGAAAAUCACAUGCAGUUGUGAAAUGUGCUAAAAGUAAUUUUUUUUUUUUUUUUUUGAGUUAUCAUGUGAAUUUCCUUGUGUAGAAUACAAAUAAACAAAAAUUUUCUGAAAAUUCCAAAAAAUAGAAGAAUUGCAUCAGUAUUUCAUUUGUUUACAGUUUCAGAUUAAAACGUGCUAUUUUCAGAAUAUUGACAUGUGCAGUCAUGCCCAAAAUGACAGCUUCUAAAUCCUGUUUUCUGGCUGGGUAAAAAAUUAUCAAACUUUAAACCUCUAUAACUUUUUUUUUACAAAUUUUUCUGGAAAAAGUGAAAUACCUCCUGAGAUUCAUGUGGAAAAUUACAUUAAUACACCAAAUUUUAAAAUUUUCAAUAAACUCUAAAAUUUCCAAAGGUGCAGCCAAACAGAAAAGGUCCUUAAUGCUGUUCACAACAACAAGUAUGUGAAUGGUAACUUAACUAUUGUUUUUCAUAUGGAUGAUGGAAUCUUUGAUUAAUUUAUCCUCUACGUUUGAAUGAAUUUGUUAUAUUAUACAGACAAGAAAGUAAUAUUUCGAAUAUGGUAUCACUGUGAAAACAGCAGAGAAAUUGGGUAUUAUUACCCUUGUGAGAUAGAAAAAAAGUUGUCAACAAACAGCCACGGGACAUGAACCCACAACUUUCAGAGACCGGCUGAGUACUUUACCAUUAAGCUAAACUGCCUACUGACAACAAUCUCCAUCAAAUUUAAAUGCUAAAUAUAUAGCUGUUUUGAAAUGCAACAACAACAUAUAUAUAAACUAACUUAUGUUUGCUUUUUAGAAGCGCCGAAUGUGUAUUGUAUUAUACAGACAAGAAAGUAAUAUUUCAAAUGCAGUAAUGCCAUGAAAACAGCAGAAAAAUCGGGUGCAAGAUGGAAAAAAGUUGUCAUGGGACAACUUUUUUCCAUGUUGCAAGAGUAAUAAUUUCCAUUUUUUUUGUUGUUUUCACAGUGAUACUGUGUUCCAAAUAUUACGUUUUUGUCUUAUACAGUUUGUCUUAUAUGAAACACAUCUGAUGCUUCAAGAAAACAGAUAUAAGUUUGUUUAUAUAUAUAUAUGUUGUUGUUGAAUUUGUUAUUAUUUCUUAAACUUGAAUCCAGUUCAAAAUGUUAACAUCCUGUUUUCCUUUUCUGAUUUAUCAAUGAAAAUAUAUUUCUUAUAACACAAUAAAACAAACAAGUUAACAUCGUUAA